rnacentral:rRNA from 1 species
GUGGGGAAUAUUGGACAAUGGGCGAAAGCCUGAUCCAGCCAUGCCGCGUGUGUGAAGAAGGUCUUCGGAUUGUAAAGCACUUUAAGUUGGGAGGAAGGGUAGUAACCUAAUACGUUGCUACUUUGACGUUACCGACAGAAUAAGCACCGGCUAACUUCGUGCCAGCAGCCGCGGUAAUACGAAGGGUGCAAGCGUUAAUCGGAAUUACUGGGCGUAAAGCGCGCGUAGGUGGUUCAGUAAGUUGGAAGUGAAAUCCCCGGGCUCAACCUGGGAACUGCUUUCAAAACUGCUGAGCUAGAGUACGGUAGAGGGUGGUGGAAUUUACUGUGUAGCGGUGAAAUGCGUAGAUAUAGGAAGGAACACCAGUGGCGAAGGCGACCACCUGGACUGAUACUGACACUGAGGUGCGAAAGCGUGGGGAGCAAACAGGAUUAGAUACCCGAGUAGUCC